UGGCUCAGUCAGUAGAGCGUCCGCCUCGAAACCGGAAGGUUGUGGGUUCAAACCCCGGC
rnacentral:tRNA from 1 species